UAGUGACAAUAGAUUUACAUCCCAGGCACAAUCACACUGCAGCUACGUGGCUGCCUUUGCAGAACCGAGUCACACAUUUUUUUCUUUCUCCUUUCUAAGUGUGAAAUUUUGAAAUAGAAU
rfam:Monodelphis domestica cont3.013274, whole genome shotgun sequence.